UACGGAGGGUGCGAGCGUUGUCCGGAAUCACUGGGCGUAAAGGGCGCGUAGGCGGCCUGAUAAGUAGGGGGCGAAAUCCUGCGGCUUAACCGCAGGGCUGCCUUCUAAACUGUCAGGCUAGAGCACAGUAGAGGCAGGUGGAAUUCCCGGUGUAGCGGUGGAAUGCGUAGAGAUCGGGAAGAACAUCAGUGGCGAAGGCGGCCUGCUGGGCUGUUGCUGACGCUGAGGCGCGACAGCGUGGGGAGCAAACAGG
rnacentral:rRNA from 1 species